rnacentral:misc_RNA from 1 species
GAUGAAGAACGUAGCGAAAUGCGAUAAGUAAUGUGAAUUGCAGAAUUCAGUGAAUCAUCGAAUCUUUGAACGCACAUUGCGCCCCUUGGUAUUCCAUGGGGCAUGCCUGUUCGAGCGUCAUUUGUACCUUCAAGCUUUGCUUGGUGUUGGGUGUUUGUCUCGCCUUUGCGUGUAGACUCGCCUCAAAACAAUUGGCAGCCGGCGUAUUGAUUUCGGAGCGCAGUACAUCUCGCGCUUUGCACUCAUAACGACGACGUCCAAAAGUACAUUUUUACACUCUUGACCUCGGAUCAGGUAGGGAUACCCGCUGAACUUAAGCAUAUCAAUAAGCGGAGGA